UUAAGACAAUUUGUUCUAUAAUACAAACAAGAAUGACUUAGUCAACACAAUAGUUAUGAUGGCUAAGGAGAGGCACAGGGAUUUCUGCUCUAUUUUAUAUUCAGUAACUCCUCUAUGAUUAUCAGGAUACCUUCAUUAAAUUUGAUGGGAUACCCAGGUAUAACUAUAACAUGAGCCCUAGUAUUAAUCCCAUGAAGGUUUAUCAACUGAUACAGAUGUUAAAAUUCAGAACCUACAUUAUAGAGGCCAAAAACCCAAGGAGUGCCCUUUUAUGAUUUUUGUUAUGCAAAUUCCUUUAAUAUAUUUCCAAGUGGGUCAAACUGUGGACUUCUGUUUCAUCAGUGUUUUUUUCUUUUGUUCCUUCCCUUCCCUGUUUUGUUUUUUGGUUACUGGACGUACUUUGGGGGAGGGUGUGUCCUCUCUAACCUGGGUACUAAUAGUGUUUUUUCCCCACCAGAGAGCCUGUGUCAUCAGGGUGUCAUCACUGUCAUCAGGGUGAAGCACGUCCCCUACGGCAAUGGUUGCUCUAGAAGGUUUAAGAACCCCAGGUUUAAGUCAGGUUUGAACUAACUUCUUUGCUAUGCCACAGCUAUGCCAUGGGUGUUAUCUCCCACUAAACCCAAAGGUCAAGCUCUCUGUUGUGGGAGAGACGCAUGAAGCAGCAGCAAUAGCACUUUAGGGUCUUGGGGAACCUUCUGCUGUUUAAGAGUGUGGACUCAGCCCAUCAUCUAAUGGCUGCUGUUCCCCACCUUCCCUCCCUGUCCUCUUUUUGAAGGACUGCUCUUCCAGGGGCAGCCAUAUAAUGACCAACCUCUGACACAGUGUAUAUAGUCCCCCCUCCACUCCCACUCUUUACAUUUGGGGCAACCCAGGCAUCAGUCACAACUUCACUAUAAAUACACAAGUCUCAGGCUGCCACUGUGAGAGGAGCCGCCACCAUGUCCGUGCAUCUGCAAUGGACGGUCGUGCAGAACUGCUCCAGUUUCUGAUCAAGAGGAGGAAUAAGCCAACCUACAGCACCGAGCCCUGUAACUUGAAGGCCCCAACUCCUUCCGCUACAACGGGCUGAUUGACCACAAGACUGUGGGCGUGGAGCCGGCAGCCAAGGGCAAAGGUGUGGUGGUGGUCAUGAAGCGGAGAUCCGGCCAGCCAAAGCCUGCCACCUCCUACGCGCGGACCACCAGCAACAAGAAUGCUCGCGCCAUUCUCAGCGGCAUCAGACACAUGAUCCUCAAGAACAAGCACCUCCCCGACCUGCGCAUGGCAGCCAUCUGCAGAGCCAGCGCCAUCCUGCGCAGCCAGAAGCCUGUGAUGGUGAAGCAGAAGCGGACCCGCCCCACCAAGAGCUCCUGAGCCCCCUGCCCCCAAAGCAAUAAAGAGUCAGCUGGCUUUCUCACC